UCAGUCAUCUAGUCUUUUGCUUCUUUCCAACAACAACCAGCAGUGAUGGUUCAUGCUUCCACCAAGCCCAUCUCCUCCUUUUUUCUCUCCACCGUAUCAGCCCAACUCCAACCCAGCCAAAGCCUAUUCUAUUUCUCCACCAACAGCCCAACUCGGCAACUCCUCUUGACAUCCUUCUUCCAGCUCGUACGUACGGCAGCGUAUCCGAAGACCUGCACGUCGCUGUCCGCGAUGGGACGGCCGAUGAUCAACUCCCUCCCCUAUAAAAAUCCGAGCAGCUGCCCACCUGCCUAGUCCCCUCUCCAUCCCAUCAGCGCCGCCACUUCCCGCCCGCUGCUUCCCUGGACAAAACCCUACCGUGAUACAGCCAACGCCGUCUACCUCGCUCGCCGUCGCCAUGGCCGCCGACGACGCCACCUGAUCCGUGGAAUCGCUCCGUAUCGGCCUCCUCUUCCUCGACGUCUGCUUCACGGAGACGAACGCGCCAAGGACCGCCUCCUUCCUCUUCUUCCCGACGCUGUCUACCCCGGCCACUUCUUCCUCUUCGUCGCUGGCCACCAUCUCCGACGCCUCAACCUCGUCGACGAGCAUCCCAGGCAUUUGCUUCUUCCCGGAUAGGAUCACGAAGUGGUGUUGUGAGAUACGACAAGUUCUUCUGCAGCUUUUCAUAGGCGAGCCCACCCCUUCACCUAUUUUACUUUUACAUGCUCUUUUGAUCUAUUGCUAUCCUUAUGUUGCGAUUCUGUUGUGUCACGUGUCCCAUCCACCUGUUACCUAUAUGUCCGAGAUACACCUCCUCGCCCUACCUAUUGUUUGAUGUUUGCCAGCUUUGCGAGUCGUAGGCGAGUUUAGGGUUUUCUGUUGAUAUCUCGAAAUGUUCGGGAUAUCUUGCUGGGAUGUUGACUUAUGCACUACCUUUUCAAAAUGAUGACGAUAACUUUUGCUACAACUUAAAAUUACUAAGGGAUAUAAUAUGCAGAGGCAUCUGUGAGCCCCUUUGCGAAAGCAUCGGAACUUUGACUUGCUAGUGUCCCCUAGGACCCGAGUUCUUGUUAUCUGUUCCGAGAUUGAGCGCUCUACCCAUGCGUGGGGACGAUUAUUGGGACCCCCCCUCACCCAUUACCAUUUCUCAAGUCUGUUGAAAAGGGGGCCACAACAUUGGUUUUAUUUGCCUAUGCCAUGUAUGCCAUGCUUUACUUACUGUUGCCUUCGGGUGUUUACUUCCUGUUGCCUUCGGGUGUUUAUAUUCUGUACUGUACCUUGCGGGACGUUUAGCGAAGCGUGUGGUUCGCACGCCUAGCCGCCGGCGCAAACCUCUGAGUCCGUCUCGGAGUACGGCCGAACUUCGAUACGGGUAGCUUAGGCGGGUGGCCCCCCUAGACUUUCUUGUUGAUUUGGGAACGGUCUUGUUGUGAGACAUCCACCUGUCGUAAGUGGGUCGAGCAUGCGUAUGGUUACAUUUGGGCAACCCCUGCAGGGUGUACAUCUUAUCGAUAAGCCGUGUCCGCGGUUAUGGACGACUUGGAGCUGUUUAACUCGAUCAUAGAACAACUUACACCUAAUGAUGUCGCUAAUAACUUGCUAAUUACUUGCGUAGUAAUUUAGCCCUAUUAUAAUGGAAUGGAUAUAAAAUUGUCAACUGUGUGAGUGUCUUGUUAGUACCUCUUGGCUAAGGGGGAUCGCAAUGGCAGGGUUUGUUUGCAGAGUAUAGAACUGCUAGAUUAUGCGCUCUCUCACCUUCUCUAUUAGACGGAAGUUGUAGCGUGUCUCUAUUGGUUAGUGCUUUGCUGCCGCUAAACUCCACAUAUAGCCGGGCGAAGUUUACACCGCCCACCAGCAAGCAUAGCUGGUCUUGUCUCGCAAGUACGUGCCAUUGGUACUUACCCUCGUUUUUCUUCCUCUUUUUCCGGAACACGCUUUUUGACAAACAGGUACGAGAUGACGACGUUAGCAAGGUUACCCUUCCGGCUUGGCCUGGGCAGGGUUAUGGAUGCCACUGGUUAUCUUCAGGACUCUUAGUCCAAUUUGUAUCUUGUCCGUACUCGGAUGUAUUCGAUCUUCUGUAUGAUUUGGAUCUUUGUAUUGUAUAUUUGUAUCUUGACUUGUUGGAGUCGUUGUUGUAAUAUAUGUAUCUUGUGGGCUCUAUUGUAAUCCUGUUGUAAUGUUA